AUGAUUUCAGAGUCGAAGCUGCUUCACUGGCCUUUCUGUGCUCGCUUCUGUAAGGGAUCAAACCAAGCAGGUUCAUACAUUAAAUGUAUCACGUCAUCAGCAUUUCAGACAGAAAAUGGGCCUCGAAUUGUGUUCUGAGCCAAUGGAUUUUUCUAGAAUCUAAAAGUGCAAUGGAAAAUUACUGAAGUGAUCUACACAAAGAGUAAACAUUUUUUCUGUUGGAUCCUGGAGGUAUCUCUUAUAAGUGGUUAAGUUGCAAUAUGUGGUGUCAUCAAAUGCUCUGCAAAAAGCAGUUCAAGUUGAGACCGGAGAUGAACAAGGAUUAGGUCAGCUGUAUAUUUCGUGGAACAGACCCAGCAUGUUCAUACAUGGCUUGGCUCACUUCAUCAUCUUUUGAGACAGAAAAUCAGCCUUCACCGAAUGCUGAUUCAAUAGACUUUUCUAUAUAUCUCAAGUGCAAUGGAAAAUUGAAGACUUACAUAAAGAUUCACAAAGAUUUCUGUUUGAAAUUUUCUACUGGAGGCUGGAAAUGCUUCUUAUAAGUGGCUAAGUUGCAAAAAUUUGUAGGAUUGAAGGCUCUGCAGACUGCACAGAGAAGUAUCUUGCUGAGCUGAGGUAUGGAAACGGAAAGCACUUUGGUUAACAUCCACAUUGAAUAGCGGUGAAAAGAAACAGGAUUUCACAAUCGGAUGCUGAACCUGAACACCAGGUUUUGAAUAACUGGUGUCUUUUUCCCACCGCAUUCACACCCUCACAGCACUUCGACAUUUGGAGAUGACUGAACUUCCAAAUUUAGUGUCAUUUGCAGAAGGCUGUUGUCUCCCUUAAACACUACAAUUGGUGGCAGGGGAAGUGACGAUAUCUUGGAGACAUU